GACGAACGCUGGCGGCGUGCCUAAUACAUGCAAGUCGAACGCAGUUGGGACGGGUGAGUAACACGUGGGUAACCUCCCAUCAGAGGGGAUAACACUUGGAAACAGGUGCUAAACCGAUACUGAUGGAUGGACCCGCGGUGCAUUAGCUAGUUGGUGAGGUAACGGCUCACCAAGGACAGGAUGCAUAGCCGAAGUGUGAGGGGGAUCGGCCACACUGUGACUGAGACAAGGCCCAGACUCCGCCGGGAGGCAGCAGUAGGGACGUUACGGCCAUGAACGAAAGAAUGACCGAGCAACACCGCGUGAGUGAAGAAGGUGUUCGGAUCGUCAAACUCUUUUGUGAGAGAAGCGGUAUCUAACCAGAAAGCCACGUCUAACUACGUGCCAGCCGCCGCGGUAAUUC
rnacentral:rRNA from 1 species